GAUGAAGAACGUAGCGAAAUGCGAUAAGUAAUGUGAAUUGCAGAAUUCAGUGAAUCAUCGAAUCUUUGAACGCACAUUGCGCCCCCUGGUAUUCCGGGGGGCAUGCCUGUUCGAGCGUCAUUACAACCCUCAAGCUCUGCUUGGUGUUGGGCCCCGCCGCCCCGGCGGGCCCUAAAAUCAGUGGCGGUGCCGUCCGGCUCCGAGCGUAGUAAUUCUUCUCGCUCUGGAGGUCCGGGUGUGUGCUCGCCAGCAACCCCCAAUUUUUUUCAGGUUGACCUCGGAUCAGGUAGGGAUACCCGCUGAACUUAAGCAUAUCAAUAGCGGAGGA
rnacentral:misc_RNA from 1 species